ACGCUGGCGGCGUGCUUAACACAUGCAAGUCGAACGAAAAUACCAAGCUUGCUUGGUUGAUUAGUGGCGAACGGGUGAGUAACACGUGAGUAACCUGCCCCUUACUUUCUGGAUAACUGCUCGAAAGGGUAGCUAAUACGGGAUAUUCUGGCCUUCCUGCAUGGGUUGGUUUGGAAAGGUUUUUUCUGGUGAGGGAUGGGCUCGCGGCCUAUCAGCUUGUUGGUGGGGUGAUGGCCUACCAAGGCUUCGACGGGUAGCCGGCCUGAGAGGGUGGACGGUCACACUGGGACUGAGAUACGGCCCAGACUCCUACGGGAGGCAGUAGUGGGGAAUAUUGCACAAUGGGCGCAAGCCUGAUGCAGCGACGCCGCGUGAGGGAUGAAGGCCUUCGGGUUGUAAACCUCUUUCGUCAGGGAACAAGGCACUGCUUUUGGUGGUGUUGAGGGUACCUGGAUAAGAAGCGCCGGCUAACUACGUGCCAGCAGCCGCGGUAAUACGUAGGGCGCAAGCGUUGUCCGGAAUUAUUGGGCGUAAAGAGCUCGUAGGCGGCUGGUCGCGUCUGUCGUGAAAACUUCCGGCUCAACCGGGGGCUUGCGGUGGGUACGGGCCGGCUAGAGUGCGGUAGGGGUAACUGGAACUCCUGGUGUAGCGGUGGAAUGCGCAGAUAUCAGGAAGAACACCGAUGGCGAAGGCAGGUUACUGGGCCGUUACUGACGCUGAGGAGCGAAAGCGUGGGGAGCGAACAGGAUUAGAUACCCUGGUAGUCCACGCUGUAAACGUUGGGCACUAGGUGUGAGGCUCCUUUCCGGGGGUUUUGCGCCGUAGCUAACGCAUUAAGUGCCCCGCCUGGGGAGUACGGCCGCAAGGCUAAAACUCAAAGGAAUUGACGGGGGCCCGCACAAG
rnacentral:rRNA from 1 species